CUGGCAUAGGAUAUAUGUUUUAAAAAUACUGCAGUAACUACUUCACUAAACGAAAAAGCCCUCCUGUGGCUGCUCCUACAUGUUUGUUUGACUCUCUGCCAGAUGUCAGUGUGGGGUGAGCAUCUUGUGUGCCCUGAGAAUGUAAGUGCAUUCUCCCUGAGGAAGCAGUGGGAAAGAACAGGAAGGGGCAGAGGCGAAGAACAGAAUUCAAGCACAAGGUUAAAAGCAGUUUUGUCUUCUGACUUUGUCACCAUGAAACGCACCUGCUGUGAUGUCCAGUUGAGCUACUGACGGUCCUCUGGCUGCUUCUGGAAACUGAUGCUGGCAUAGGCGCUUAAAUCCUCACUUGAGCGGCGGGUGGAGCUGCUCUCACCGCUGCCCAGGGGUUGAUGAGGGGGUGGGGGUGGGGGAGGCUGCGGUUCAGGGGUGCACUCCUGAGGGCACUGUUUGAAGUCCUUGACCAAAUCCAGGUCUAUGUAGUUAAGACCAUUCUCCAAACCCCCAGCAGCCCCACACAGUUGGGCUGGCUCCUUGGGGGCUCCCCCAAGCUCCCCAGGCCUCAGCCACACAUUCUCAAAGGAAGCAGAGCUGUGGCGUUUCACAUCCUCGCUGCUGCUGCUGCUGCUACCGCCACCGCCCCCUACUGUUGCCCCCGCUCCAAAGGGCACUGUGUUGCCCACCCGGGUGGCACUGGGUGUUGAGGAGAAAGUCUCGGAGCUAUGCCUCCGCCGGCACCCUUGUGGGUCUGCACGGAUCACUUUGGCACUCUGGUUGCGGUUAGGACUGAGGUUCACCCGGGUGAAGGCGCUCAUGCCCCCAGGUCCUUGUGGGCCCCCCAGCAGGGACGAGUGGGCAGCCAGCUCUGCUGCCCCUUGAGGCCCAGUCGGGGAAGCAGAGACUGCUGAGGAUGAGGAGGCAGCAACCAUGGUGGCCCUGGGCAGGCUCACCUCCUCUGCAGCAAUGCCUGUCCGCAUGUCAGCAUAGCUUACAGGGGCAGCUGGCGAGGUGUCCACGUAGCUCUGACGGGGACAACUCAUCUGCAUGGUCAUGUAGUCACCCCGGCUGCUGGGCACUGCCCGGGUAGGCCUGCAAAUGCUAGCAGCCCCGGGAGGUGCAGGGCCCAGUCUGCCCAUCUCGACCCCAGUGCUCUCCUGCCAAGCUGCCCUCCGGCCCGGCCCCAGGUCCAUCUUCAUGUACUCCUCAGUGCCAGUCUCUUCCUCUCUGGGAGCUGGCUGGAGCUGGGAUGGACACCUGACAGAAGGUGAGCUGUGGGAAGCCACCGGGCCAGACAAGUAGCCAGGCUGAUCACUCCCAAAUUCAAUAUUGACAUAUUCCCCCGGGCUCUUGGGCUCUGGAGGGUGCAGCAAGGGCUGCUGCUGCUGCUGCUCUCGGGCCCGAGGUAAGGUGCUGGCCUUGGGAUCCCCCAGGGACAGCCUCGUGGGCCGGGCCAGGCGGCUAUUGGUCUGAGCAGCUGUGUCCACCUUUCGAGGCAGAUGGGGCUGCAGAACCUGAUGGUGGGGAUGUGGAAGGCUGGGCUCCAGCCUAGCCCCGCAGUAUCCCCCACCCAGGCUGUCGCUGCUGGUGGAAGAGGAAGAAUCAUCCGCUGUUGCAGCAUAGAGAAGGCGACCAGAGCUAGUGGAAAGGCGGAGGUGCUGAUGCCGGGCACCCUCCUCCGGCUCCCCGGGGCGCUGGGUGUGCUUAAAGGAUCUUGGCAAUGAGUAGUAGGAGAGGACUGGCUUGUGCUGGGGGUCCUCAGGGCCGUAGUAGCAGUCGGAGGGGCUGCUGGUGUUGGAGUCCCCCACUGGUGACAUGUUCAUGUAGUCACCUGUGCAAGGAAAUUAAAAUUUUAAGGGCUAAUUCCCCU
rnacentral:lncRNA from 1 species